rnacentral:rRNA from 1 species
UACGUAGGGUGCGAGCGUUGUCCGGAAUUACUGGGCGUAAAGAGCUCGUAGGUGGUUUGUCGCGUUGUUCGUGAAAACCGGGGGCUUAACCCUCGGCGUGCGGGCGAUACGGGCAGACUUGAGUACUGCAGGGGAGACUGGAAUUCCUGGUGUAGCGGUGGAAUGCGCAGAUAUCAGGAGGAACACCGGUGGCGAAGGCGGGUCACUGGACCAUUACUGACACUGAGGCACGAAAGCUAGGGGAGCAAACAGG